AAAUUCUUGCCGUCAUUCCGUCGUCGUUGCCAAAAUCUUCCUUAUUGCUAAACAACCAUUAUGACAUCAUGAUCUCUUAUGUUAAAAUACUUUAUGAUUAUGGAUAUAUUUGAAAUUAUGCCGUGACACACAGACACGCGUGAAGAUAGAUAUUCACAUCCAUCCAUACAUGAUAUGAUGUCAUAAAUCGCCUUAUAAGGAUACUAGCUGUAACUACGACAUAUAUUACAAAACAACUCAGUCAAUGGCAUCACUGUAACGGCCAACAUUAUCAAAAAUUUCAGAUCCCUCUGCACCAUUAAUAAUCGUUAAUAACAUAACUACACUCUUCACCAAAAACGAUAUCAAUAACAGCGUCGCUACUUCUACAGACGCGAACACUGAACCACCACCAUCACUAUUAUCGUUAUUAUCAUAAUUAACAUCUAAAUCAGUCAAUAAACUCAAUGUUUAUCUGUAAUGAAGGAUUUCAAUUGAAGCAAAUCACACAAUAAUACAGACAUGUAUACAUAUGUGUUCUUCGUUGCGCAGAAAACGCAAACACAUAUAACUACAUAGACAAAUACACAAAGACUCUAAGGCAAUCGCAAUGCAGAAACGUACACCCAUCCACACUCAUGCACACACUUAAACAGAGAUGAACACUGGGAAAGCAACAAGGACGCAUAGUUUUAACACAUAUUUGAAUAACAGUUAAAGGGUUGAAUUGCGAACUAAUAGAGAUGUGAUGUAUAGAAAAAUAUUAAAAGUUGUAUGCACUGCGGUUGGUGUACUUUUAAGAAGUGUAGUUCAGGAAUGUUGUAAAUAUAGAGAGGUGAUGGCUAAGGAUAUAUUUCUUCUUGUUGCCAUUGUUGUUAUUGUUGUCGCGAUUCU